AGUCAAGUAAUUAAGUGCAUGUGGUGGAUGCCUUGGCAGUCAGAGGCGAUGAAAGACGUAAUAGCCUGCGAUAAGCUCCGGGGAGGCGGCAAAUAUCCUGUGAUCCGGAGAUUUCUGAAUGGGGAAACCCACUUACCAUAAGGUAGGUAUCGCAACAUGAAUACAUAGUGUUGCGAGGCGAACGAGGGGAAGUGAAACAUCUCAGUACCCUUAGGAAAAGAAAUCAAUUGAGAUUCCCU
rnacentral:ncRNA from 1 species